AAGUUAUAAAUCAAUAAAAUAAAUUCACAAAUUUGUGGAAAUUACACAACACACUCUUAAACAACCAAUGAAUCAAAGAAGAAAUCACAAGGGAAAUUUGAAA